rnacentral:rRNA from 1 species
UGAUGUUAGCGGCGGACGGGUGAGUAACACGUGGGUAACCUGCCUGUAAGACUGGGAUAACUCCGGGAAACCGGGGCUAAUACCGGAUGGUUGUUUGAACCGCAUGGUUCAAACAUAAAAGGUGGCUUCGGCUACCACUUACAGAUGGACCCGCGGCGCAUUAGCUAGUUGGUGAGGUAACGGCUCACCAAGGCAACGAUGCGUAGCCGACCUGAGAGGGUGAUCGGCCACACUGGGACUGAGACACGGCCCAGACUCCUACGGGAGGCAGCAGUAGGGAAUCUUCCGCAAUGGACGAAAGUCUGACGGAGCAACGCCGCGUGAGUGAUGAAGGUUUUCGGAUCGUAAAGCUCUGUUGUUAGGGAAGAACAAGUACCGUUCGAAUAGGGCGGUACCUUGACGGUACCUAACCAGAAAGCCACGGCUAACUACGUGCCAGCAGCCGCGGUAAUACGUAGGUGGCAAGCGUUGUCCGGAAUUAUUGGGCGUAAAGGGCUCGCAGGCGGUUUCUUAAGUCUGAUGUGAAAGCCCCCGGCUCAACCGGGGAGGGUCAUUGGAAACUGGGGAACUUGAGUGCAGAAGAGGAGAGUGGAAUUCCACGUGUAGCGGUGAAAUGCGUAGAGAUGUGGAGGAACACCAGUGGCGAAGGCGACUCUCUGGUCUGUAACUGACGCUGAGGAGCGAAAGCGUGGGGAGCGAACAGGAUUAGAUACCCUGGUAGUCCACGCCGUAAACGAUGAGUGCUAAGUGUUAGGGGGUUUCCGCCCCUUAGUGCUGCAGCUAACGCAUUAAGCACUCCGCCUGGGGAGUACGGUCGCAAGACUGAAACUCAAAGGAAUUGAC